rnacentral:rRNA from 1 species
GAUGAACGCUGGCGGCGUGCCUAAUACAUGCAAGUAGAACGCUGAAGGAGGAGCUUGCUCUUCUGGAUGAGUUGCGAACGGGUGAGUAACGCGUAGGUAACCUGCCUGGUAGCGGGGAUAACUAUUGGAAACGAUAGCUAAUACCGCAAGACAACAGUUACUGCAGGAUAACUGUUUAAAAGGGGCAACUGCUCCACUACCAGAUGGACCUGCGUUGUAUUAGCUAGUUGGUGAGGUAACGGCCCACCAAGGCGACGAUACAUAGCCGACCUGAGAGGGUGGUCGGCCACACUGGGACUGGGACCCGGCCCAGACUCCUACGGGAGGCAGCAGUAGGGAAUCUUCGGCAAUGGGCGGAAGUCUGACCGAGCAACGCCGCGUGGGUGAAGAAGGUUUUCGGAUCGUAAAGCUCUGUUGUAAGAGAAGAACGAGUGUGAGAGUGGAAAGUUCACACUGUGACGGUAUCUUACCAGAAAGGGACGGCUAACUACGUG